UAACCUGCCCAAGAGACUGGGAUAACACCUGGAAACAGAUGCUAAUACCGGAUAACAACACUAGACGCAUGUCUAGAGUUUAAAAGAUGGUUCUGCUAUCACUCUUGGAUGGACCUGCGGUGCAUUAGCUAGUUGGUAAGGCAACGGCUUACCAAGGCAUGAUGCAUAGCCGAGUUGAGAGACUGAUCGGCCACAUUGGGACUGAGACACGGCCCAAACUCCUACGGGAGGCAGCAGCC
rnacentral:rRNA from 1 species